rnacentral:lncRNA from 1 species
AAAGAGAAAGUAGGCAAUUUUUAUUUAUGAUAUUAAAUUCUUGCUCUCACUUUCAAAUGGAUACAGUACAGGCUUUUUUUUUUUUUUUAACAUACAAUGCUCUCCAAGCAUAUUUAAAAUGUUAUACAGUUUACAAAAUUAGAUUUGUAUGCAUUUUUUCCCAAAAUUAUGUAAAAAAUUAUGUUACAUCUCUAACAGAUUGAAUAUCUGCAAUAAAUUAUAUCAACAGAGGAGGUUUUAUGGCAAUUAACAAGUGCCUUUAAAAAGUAAUUGAUGAUUCAAUAGUAUUCCUAACUAUUAUUUUUGAAAGAGUUUUAGACAUUUUAACGAGCAGUUUCAGGGCUAAUUGUUACUGUUGUUAUUUUUAGAAACAUGGCAGAGUCUAAGUACCAAUUUGCUCUGCUAUCUACAUAUUUGCCUAAUUUCUACAAGUGAUGAAAUGUAGCUGUCCUCACAGGAGUUGUCCUUUGGCAUCAAUUUGAGAUUUAGUUCAGGAGGAGGAGAGAAAGGGGAAAACUGGUGCAGGGCAGGGCGUCCACCCACCCAUGCACCUAUGUGCUCUGGAAUGAAAGCACACCAUGUCAGACAGCUUUAUAUUGUGAUAAGCAAAGGGUGGGAUUCUGAAACCAUAUUUAGAAUCCUCUUAAAAUCUUGUCCCCAGAGUAUCGAUUCUUUUUAGACUGUAUCUUGUAGGAUUGCCAGAGGCUCUCCUUUCAAACAUUUCUUUCUAUCAGUAGGAGGUUGACUGAAGGACACCAAAUCAGUAUUUUUUUUUAAAGUAGUACAGCUUUUACUUCCUUUUGGUUCAAUUGAUAACUUUUGACUGGCCUUUCAAGUUCUUUGAUUCAUUAGGGAUAACAUCUUCACUAUAUGUAUGGGGAAGUUUAGGACUUGGUAAUAAAAGUGAACAAGUGAAGGUCUUGAGGCAAGAAUCAGAAGGGCUCUGCACAUGGGUCAUAUGCUGGAAAUGUUGGAGUUGGGAGUUCUAAUUCUAUGUAUCUAUCUAUCCAUCUAUCCAUCUAUCUAUAUCUAUCUACCUAUGUCUCUAUCUACCUCUGCUUACCAUCUUUCUCUCUGUCUCUCUUAUCUUUCUCUCCAUCAAUCUUUGCAGCUCAUGGAAGAGAUGGAUCUGGAAAAGGCAUUCAUCUCACAAUGGUCUCUGCUCGAUCACUGUAACUUGCUGUGGUCUGUGAUCAAACUUUAGGCAAACAUUAGACCACAGAAGCGAGUACAGACACGAUUGCAUGGUCUCUGUGGGUUAUAGAAACAGAAUGAGGCUGCUAUUUGAUUAAGGGCUGGAGGAAUCUAGUUGCAAUCACAAAUGCAAACCAGAGCAGGUGAAAGAUAUUAGCAAGGCAUGCAUGAAUUUGAAUACGAUAUCGUUGGGAGAUAGAACUUAAGCAUUAACACAAAGCUUUCCUUAUUCUUCCUGGCAUCUCCAUUUGGGUCACUUUAGGACCGUGCCAACUUUUCUCAAUGGAGCUUUUUAAGAUCACACAAGAUUUCCCGUUCAAACAACAGAAAAAGCACUUGUAAUUUUCCAUUUUUCAAGGUCACCUAUAGAAUGUAUUUGGAUUCUUCUUUUAUAUUAAGUGAGCUCUAUGUCUCUGUUGUCUGAUUCAUAAGAUUGCCCCAUUAAUUAGCACUUGGAGUUAGUUUCAUAGAAAAAAAUAAAAAUAUUUUGAAAAGAUUGCCUUUAUUACCAGUGAUACAUUGGGAAUAUGUUGAACAUAUAUAUUGCAAUAUAUAUCAAAUGUAUAUUCAAGCGGAAAAUUUUUCACAGAUUUAGCCAUAAGCUUGUUUUCCAGAAACAAGGGAACAUGCCAUUAUUGCCAUAUUUAAGCCCUAGCAUUUUAUCUUUUUUAAUAUAUAUAUAGCUUAAAAGAAACCAAGACACUUUCAUGUUUACUCUGUUCGUCUGGAGCCUAUAAAAUUCUCUUUCUAAUGUUUUCUAGAAGGCUUUGUUUAAAUCCAUAUCAAUCUAUCCAUAUCUAACUGAGCUGUGGUCUCACAUAUCAUUAGUCUUUUAUCGACAAUGCCAGGCUCCAGGAAAAGUGAUGACUCAUCAAAUACAGGGUAUAACAGCUUAACUGAAGCUGACAUAGAAAAUAUGCAAGGAGACUAGUUAGAGUACAGACAAGCUCAUGCCUGUUGUAUUAAUGGGUGACAUUUUAAACAAUAGAGCUGUCAGACCCUACUGUGAAUAAAGGGGCUUAAUCAUAGCAGGAAUUAGUGCACACGACAGGUGAUUAUGUGUUGGAAACAUGCCAGGACCAUCUGUGAUGCUUCACAUUAUUUGUAAUCUCAGUAAUUGCAGCUUUGGGGAAAAAAUUAUUUGGGAUUGGAGAAUCUCGGGUUGGGGGAAGAAAUAAACAAAAAACACAUACAACCCACUUAUUUCAACAAUAGAGGUCUCUACAAAUGGGAAAAGUUCAACUCCCAUUAUCAAUUUAAGUCCAUCCUCCUUAUCACCAAUUCAACAACAAAGCAAUAUAAUCAUGGUUUUUCUUUUUUUACUUUCUCAAAGUCCAAUUAUAGUGCCUCCUCGCCAAUAAAAUAAGCCUGCUAUCAUCUACUUAUUAAACUGAGAAGAGAAUUUCUUCUAAAAUUACUUAGGCUACACUAUCUGAAGCCACUGAGGAAAACAUGAGGCUCAGUUGGAAAGGUAUUUUCUCCUGUUGGAUAUCCUGCUAUUUAGCUAUGAUAAAUAUUUGAUUACUAUCUUUUGAGGUUUAUGAAAACAGAUAAUUCUUUAACGAUUGGUAGAGAAUGAUCCAGUUGGAACCAUGGUUUAGACAAUUCCAGCCAUGAGAUACUGGAAAGCAGAACAGAAAAAUGGGAAAAAUACCAGUAAAGAUUCAUGGAGUUCAGAAACAAAAUUCUGGGCUUCUGUUUUAGUUAACCUAUAGCAAUGAGGCAGCAUGGAAAAACCACCUUGUUUUAGCUGUUGAUCUUUAGUCUUAUUUAUUGAUUGCUUUUCAAAGGAAAUAAUACCUCACGUCUUCCGUUUACUUCAUAGCCAUGUGGUUAUCACUGCAAAACGCAAUCUUGGCACCAUAUAUGUUUUCAUAUAUGUUCUUUGUAAUUGUUUAUUUUGUGAUGGUUUCAAAUUUUCAGACAGGUUGCAAGAAUACUGUGAGGAACUCCUUUAUCCUUUUAUCAAUGUCUUCAAUUAUUUACCUUUGUCCCAUCUGAUUUAUUAAGUUCCCACUGUAUAUUUGUUUAUAUUUGCGUACUUUUCUGAGCCUUUGGUAAUGUGGAGACAUUGAGACUUUUUGCACCUAAAUAUUUCAGACUAUAUUUCCCAAGAACAAGGAUAUUACCCUAUAUAACUACAGUAAUCAAAGUUGGGAAAUUUAACACUGAUACACUACUAUUAUCUGACCCACGGGCAAAACUGUCAAUUUUCCCAAUAAUGUUCUUUGUAGCUAAUUUUAUUUUCUCAUGCAGGAUGUAAUCCAGGAUUACAAAUUACACGUUGUUGUUAUGCGAAUUCAUCUCUUUUAUCCCAAACAAUCCCUCAGCCUUUUAAAAAUCUUUAUGGACAUUGCAUUUUAAAGGAGAAAAGACAUUUAUUUUACAAAAUCUUUCUCAUUUUUUACGUUUAUUUCUUCAUGAUUAGGCUAAAUGCAUGUUGUCAGGGAUCCCACAGAAGUGAUGUUGCAUCCUUCUGAGUGAGCUCUAUCAUGAGGCAUAUGAGUUUAGUUUGCCCAAUAAUGAUGGUGUUAACUUGGAUCCUUUAAUUUAGAUGAUUCUUCACAGUAGAGUUAUUAUCUUUCUAUCCAAUUAAUAAUCUGGACACCAUGUAAAUAUCCUGCUCCUCAUCAACCUUUACAGAGUUUUAGCACUCAUUGAUGCUUUUCUAGUUACACCAUUUUUUCUUCACUGGUUAGUUGGCAUUCUACUGAAAGAACAGUUGUUCCCAUCUUUCCACUUAUUUAUGUUUAUUCAUUUAUUUAUGUCAGUAUAGACACAUAGAGUCUUAUUUUCUUCAACCCAUUAUUUAUUUUUAUUUUCAUUUGGAGUAGAUAGAAGCCUCUAUAAGUUAGCUGCCACUAUAUAUCUUUUUGAUAUGUUGCCAUCAUUUUGUACUUCCUGACUGUGUCAGUUAGAGCUCCAGAGAGACACAGAACCAUGAGGAAAUGAUGAUAGAUAGAUAGAUAGAUAGAUAGAUAGAUAGAUAGAUAGAUAAUAGAUAGGUGAUAGAUAGAUAGAGGAUUUAUUGCAAAGAAUUGACUUCUAUGACUGUGGGCCUUCCUAGGCAAAUCCACAAUCUGCAGAGCCCUGGGGAAAGACCGAAACUUUUAUGCAGGAGCUGAAACUGCAGUCCUUGGGGUGAAAUUCUUCUUCACAGGGAAACCUCAGUUUGGAUCUUAAGGCCUUUUAACUACUCAGUUCAGGCCAUGCAGAUUAUCCUGGAUAAUCUACUUUUAAAGCCACCUGGUUGUAGAUGUUAAACACACGUACAGGAUACCUUCUCCACAACACAUAGCCUAGUGUUUGGUUUAAUAACUGGGGCUAGAGUCUAGCUUGUUACCGGGUGGUGGGUUGGGGAACUCCUUUGUCCUUGUCUUCUCCAAGGAAAAAAUUUAGGCGAGAGAUUAGAGAGUUAAAGUAGCAAAGUUUUUUUAUUUAUCAAAAAGUGAUAGUACACUCCAGAGACCACUCACCCAAGGGUGGAUGGCAGCGCACUGAAUUUCUCAUUGUGUCCAUGUAGGGGGUUUUAUGUGGUCUCCUCUCCUCCAUCUUACAGUUACAGUUCCAUCUUUGGGUGGGCCUUGCUUUCCUCCGCUCCAGCCCUUUGAGCAAGUUUGUGUCAGUCAUCUUCCCCGAAGGCUUAAGAGCAACCUACUGAGGGUGGGAGGGUGGGGCCAUGGUAUGUCUUAAGUGUGCAUGCUCCAAAAUUGGAGCCAUCACCGUAGAGGGUAUCUUCUGUUUCUUGGUCUGUGCUAAACCGCAAAAGGGGUUGGUCUAAGGGAGGUGGGGGGGGGGGGGGGGGGGAGGAGAACUGGUGGUCCCUAGCAGUUGUCCAUCUAUUACCCUCCUGCUCAUGUCUAUCUGUCUUCUCUAGCAAGUUGAUACAUAAACCUGACCAUGACACUUUUUGUCUGACACAAGCUCUUGCAAUUUCAUCUUGUUUCCCUGCAAGAUGAAUCAAUUGAAUUGUGGAAUCAAACUUUUCUCCCAGAAACUUUU